rnacentral:tRNA from 1 species
GCCCGGAUGGUCUAGUGGUAAGAAACCUCGAAAUCCAGCCUCCACCAGAAUAUACGCUAACUGUCAGGUACUUAGGUAUGAUUCUCGCUUGUGAGUCACCGAACAUCGAACCCUUGGCACCUAUACCAGAAUUUCCCUAACAAAAAUACCUUAGUGGGUUAAACACUUAAAUGCGAGAGGCCCCGCGUUCGAAUCGCGGUUCGGGCC